CCGAGUUAGGGUUUCGUCCAACGAGCCCGACCUCCCAACCCUUUGUCUAUUAUACCUUGUCGUUGCUUCGGCGGACCGGUCACGAUCAACUGGUCGUGACCGCCGGGGAUCUGUCCCUGGAGAGCGUUCGCCGAUGGCCUAACCACAAACUCUUGUACCAAACCAUGUCGUCUGAAUUACUUGAUUAAAAUCAAAAACA
rnacentral:misc_RNA from 2 species